rnacentral:rRNA from 1 species
CAAUAGCGUAUAUUAAUGUUGUUGCAGUUAAAAAGCUCGUAGUUGGAUAUCUGGCCUUUGCGUUGACGACCCGCCCUCUUUUGGGAUGAGCGUUGGAGACGUGGGUCUAUUUUCCGGUUGGUGUCCAUUCCACUUUAUUGGGGCGUGGUUCACGAUCCGGAUCGUUUACUUUGAAAAAAUUCGAGUGUUCAUAGCAGGCUUACGCCGUGAAGAUCGCAGCAUGGAAUAAUAACAUAGGACUUGGCGUUCUAUUUUGUUGGUCCUGGAACCUAAGUAAUGAUUGAUAGGGACAGUUGGGGGUGCUGCUAUAGACUGGCCAGAGGUGAAAUUCUAAGACUCAGUCUAGAGCAACUUAUGCGAAAGCAUUCACCAAGGAUGUCUUCUUUAA